rnacentral:rRNA from 1 species
GAUGAACGCUGGCGGCGUGCCUAAUACAUGCCAGUCGAGCGAACGGACGAGAAGCUUGCUUCUCUGAUGUUAGCGGCGGACGGGUGAGUAACACGUGGAUAACCUACCUAUAAGACUGGGAUAACUUCGGGAAACCGUAGCUAAUACCGGAUAAUAUUUUGAACCGCAUGGUUCAAAAGUGAAAGACGGUCUUGCUGUCACUUAUAGAUGGAUCCGCGCUGCAUUAGCUAGUUGGUAAGGUAACGGCUUACCAAGGCAACGAUGCAUAGCCGACCUGAGAGGGUGAUCGGCCACACUGGAACUGAGACACGGUCCAGACUCCUACGGGAGGCAGCAGUAGGGAAUCUUCCGCAAUGGGCGAAAGCCUGACGGAGCAACGCCGCGUGAGUGAUGAAGGUCUUCGGAUCGUAAAACUCUGUUAUUAGGGAAGAGCAUAUGUGUAAGUAACUGUGCACAUCUUGACGGUACCUAAUCAGAAAGCCACGGCUAACUACGUG